UGAGUUGGCUGGGUAACCGCUGCUUCGUUGAUGUCCUUUGGGAGACUGACGGGGGGGAGGAAAGUCCGGGCUCCACAGGGCAGGGUGCCAGGUAACGCCUGGGGGGCGCAAGCCUACGACCAGUGCAACAGAGAGCAAACCGCCGAUGGCCUU
rnacentral:RNase_P_RNA from 1 species